rnacentral:rRNA from 1 species
GAUGAACGCUGGCGGCGUGCCUAAUACAUGCAAGUCGAGCGAACAGACGAGGAGCUUGCUCCUCUGACGUUAGCGGCGGACGGGAGAGUAACACGUGGAUAACCUACCUAUCAGACUGGGAUAACUUCGGGAAACCGGCGCUAAUACCGGAUAAUCUAUUGCACCGCAUGGUUCAAUAGUGAAAGACGGUGUUGCUGUCACUUAUAGCUGGAUCCCAGCCGCUUUAGCUAGUUGGGAGGGUAACGGCUUACCACGGCAACGAUGCGUAACCGACCGGAGGGGGUGAUAGGCCACACGGGAACGGGGACACGCACCAUACGCCUACGGUAGGCAGCAGUAGGGUAUCGUCCGCAGUGGGCGGAAACCUGACGGAACAGCGCGGCGUGAGUGAUGAAGGUCUCCGGAGCGUAAAGCUCUGUUAUGGGUGAUAAACAAAUGUCUAAGUAACUAUGCACUGCUUGACGGUAACGGAUCAGAAAGCCACGGCUAACUACGUG